ACUACCAGAAUAUUUGAAUGAAAAUCAUGGCGCGCAGUUUAAUUCCUUUUUAUCAAUGAUACCAAACUUUAACUGUGAAAGCAUUGAGUAUAGAGCAUGAGAAGGAAUUUAGGGUUGUUUUUAGUUGCUUAGGAACUCAUAUUUGUAGCUCUGUCAGUGAGGAAUACUGUUUUAAAAUUCCAAGAUGGACACUAAAAAAUCAUCCUAUGCAAAAGAAGACAACGAGAAUGAAGAUAAGGAGUGGGCUAGAUUAAUAGAGAGAAAGAAAGAGGAAUUGAAGCAGUUACGUGAAAAAGAAGAGACACUUUGUCAAAGAGAGUUGCAUUAUCAAAGAGAAAAGGAAGCUUUGUUAACACAGUACAAACAGGUUUUUCCUGAUAAACCAGAUUGGAGCAGGAAAAACAGCACCAGUGUUGAUCCAAAUAACUCAGCUGACAAUAGGCACCAGGAUGUGUUUAAAGUUGGCUGUCAAAUUCACCAGCAAAAAAAGCAAGAAAAGUUAGAGCUUCAACUUCGUGAAAAACAAGCAAGAAAAAUGUUGGCUGAAGUUGAUGAUGCUCUGAAAAUGGAGAAGAAAGGCUUUGGUUUGGAAACACCUCUCCUCAAAUGGUACCUAAAAAUUAAAAAUUAUAUUAAAAUGGAUGAAGAGGAGGAUAAUGAAAACAUCCCUGAAUCAGAGAAAUCCUUAUGCAUGGCAGACAGGAUGUUUUAUCAGGUGAAAUACCAAACAAAAGAUGGUAACCAUCCACAAUGGAACAUGCCUCUAGGAAAACAACAAUACCAAUCACUUCCUGGAAAAUGGUUAGAGGAGCUAUCAUUCAGCACACGACAAAAAGGCACUUGUGUACAUGUGACCAUUACUAGAAAAGUUUCAAAUUCUUGUUCUUCAAAAUCGCCAUUAGAUGCAAACAACUGCUUUGAAGAAUCUGAGCCAUUCUUCUUCUCCACGGACCCAUAUGUCACUGACUGCCACGAACGUGGAUUGGAGCUCCUUCUACAAAACGACCAACCAGAAAAAUUCAUAAAGGAUGUGGUUUGGAAUUACAUAGAUACAGAAACAAGCUAAGGGUAACCCACUGAGGUGAAAUUCCCUUUCAANAAAUGAUCACAAAUGCUACACAAAUGAAGACCCCCACAAAUGAGACAGUUGAGCUAUAUGAAUGAAGGAAUCAGUGAGAUGUAACAUCCAGUUUAUAAAAUCUUGAGCAAGAGUUUUCCUUUAAUUGGAUGAUGAAAUGAGGGCCGUCAGUACAACAAGGACAAGGUCAACAAAAACAUUGUGGCACAUCUCACAUCUCGUAUAUAGAAGAAAAGGUGUU
rnacentral:misc_RNA from 1 species